UCGUAACAAGGUUUCCGUAGGUGAACCUGCGGAAGGAUCAUUAACGAAUUUAAUUAUCAUCUUAUUAUGUGAACUUUUAAUCCCUUUGUGGAUUAGAAAUGCUUCGGUGCUGGGUAAAAAUUUAUAUUUUUACCAGGCGCCGGUAGAAAACUCAUUUAAACUUUAUGUCUAAACUAAAAAUUUUAAUAAAUUAAAACUUUCAACAACGGAUCUCUAGGUUCUCGCAUCGAUGAAGAACGCAGCGAAAUGCGAUACGUAUUGUGAAUUGCAGAUUUUUGUGAAUCAUCGAAUCUUUGAACGCACAUUGCACCUGGUGGUAUUCCGCCAGGUAUGCCUGUUUGAGCGUCAUUUCUCUCUCACUCCGGUGGUUUUGCUGUUUAUCAUUUUUUCGGAAAUGUACAGUGAAAAGAAAUGGCAAGGCUCUAGUUCUUACGAAAUGUUUUAGGUUCUACCAACUACAUUCUCUAAGUUCUAAUAAAUUCGGCUUGAUAAUUCUUUCAAUGUUGACCUCAAAUCAGGUAGGACUACCCGCUGAACUUAAGCAUAUCAAUAA
rnacentral:misc_RNA from 1 species